CGUCCCCCGGCGCGCUCCCGGGGCUCCUCGCCGGUCCCGGGGCGCUCCCCGCCGCUAUCCCGAGGCCACCCGGCCCGGGCUUCCUCUCUACCGGCAAUACUCGGGAAUGGCAACACACGACCGCGACUGUUCCCAGCCCAGACUUGGCAUUCUGAACAGAGGUGAGAAAUUAUGUUCAGUAUUCAAGGUAUACAGAAAUGACAGAUCAUAAACUGUGUAGAAGGAUGUGCUCCUGAAAGACCUCAAAAGAAUCUUACGCUUCACACCUCAAUAACAGGAAACCUCCCACGUGAGUCUGCAUACACUGGGCUGAGCUUCCUCCUCCUCCUGCCACAUUCUCCUGAGAGAGGAUUUAGAAGGAAGAAUUCUUAUAUCAUAAAACUUUCAGUCCCUUUUCUUAAAAAAAAAAAAAAAGUUGCAACACUUGAAACAAGAAAUUCUACCACACAUCUUCAAAGCUGAUGGAGUGGGGGAAGGGAAACCAAGCAAGUCACUCUUGCAUCAUUCAAACAGUGCUUUCACAAAGGGUACAUCUACAGCACACAAUGCAUACAAGAUCAUCAAGGAAGCUCAUGCUUCAAGACAGGACUGCAUUCAUUUAUUGUGCACUUCUGAGACCCACACUCACACCAUUAUAAUGCUUCCUGCACACAAGUCUCACUGAUUACUUUCCUUUGGAUGUGAGCAGGUUAUAGACUUUGAGAAAUGAGGUGUCUUUAGCUAAGUUCCUAUAAACUUCAAAGAUAAAGUGUUGUUUUCUGAAAGCAAAACAAUGAUUUCAAGAUUGACAUAUCUGGAGAAGUGUUUUUUCCUGCAUUAUCAUUCGUCUCUACAUCCAUUCAAAGCCUUGUGUAUUUAAUGUAUAUUAAAAAAAAUCUCCUAAAAACAUGAUUCUUAUGGUCUAUGUCACCAAUUUUUCUUCCACUGGGAAAUCAACUGUCAG